rnacentral:lncRNA from 1 species
GUGUAACAUGACAGCUGCCAAAAAUGCAUAACUUGUGACUCUCCAUUGAGAAGUCCACACCUGGCCUUUUUGAGGGGCUCCGGUGAGAAGCUUGCACCUACGCUUUUCUGACAGCCAUUCUAUUAACACACCUCUGCUUCACGGGCUGCUCUUGUCAAUCUUUUCUACAUCAGUGCCAGGAAAUAGGGGUUUGCAAAGGAACUCAAAGAUUGAAGUUCCCCCAAAAGAUCGCGGCUCCUCCUCUAGCUGCGGCAGGCUACUGCUUAAAGAGCUGUCACUCCCGUCCCAGUCCCUGCUGACAGUCCGGCGGUGUGGGGUACGGGAGGACUUUACAAGUAACCCCUGUAAAGCAUCACACGGCGGGAACCAGAGGCUUGAGUCCCAGCCUUGGGCAGUGACUUUGGGGGGGAUAAAUAAUCUCUGUCUCUCAAGUAAGAACUGUGCGGAUCUCACGGGUUUGAAGAUUGGCUAGCCCGUGUGGAACACUGGGAAAGGCGUCCUACGGCCGGCUAGGCUGCCGCCCCCUUGGAUGCUGUGGUUGUAGGGUGGGUGACCGACCGACAUCACU